UACCAGCACCCCGAGUGGUCGGGACGACUAUUGGGCCUAAAGCAUCCGUAGCCGGUCAUGCAAGUCCUCCGUUAAAUCCAGCCGCUCAACGGUUGGGCUGCGGAGGAUACUACGUGGCUAGGAGGCGGGAGAGGCAAGCGGUACUCAGUGGGUAGGGGUAAAAUCCUUUGAUCCAUUGAAGACCACCAGUGGCGAAGGCGGCUUGCCAGAACGCGCUCGACGGUGAGGGAUGAAAGCUGGGGGAGCAAACCGG
rnacentral:rRNA from 1 species